UGGCUCUCGCAUCGAUGAAGAACGCAGCGAAAUGCGAUAAGUAAUGUGAAUUGCAGAAUUCAGUGAAUCAUCGAAUCUUUGAACGCACCUUGCGCCCUUUGGCUAUUCCGAAGGGCAUGCCUGUUUGAGUAUCAUGAACACCUCAACUCUCAUGGUUUGCCAUGAUGAGCUUGAACGUUUGAUCUCAAAUCAGGUAGGACUACCCGCUGA
rnacentral:misc_RNA from 1 species